UGAGAUAAAUUAUUAAGUGCUCUUAUUUAUCCAGGGUCUUUCUUGAAAUAUCUGUUCUUAUUCUUUUUAGAAUCAACUGCUGCCUUAUGUAAAAUAUUUUCUGAGAAAUUUGUACUUCUGCAAGAAAAACUGAAGAAAAGCUCCUUAAAAUUGACUGAAAUCCAGAAUAUCAACUGGCAAGUAGAUUAUAUACUUUGGUCAAGUGUUUUGAAUGAAGUGAAUGACCCAUCAGUCAAGCUGUGCUUGGAAGUUAAAGAUUCUGAUUCAUCUGAAAUCAAGUUACAUUCGUUUAAUAUGUCAUCGAGCAAGUUUCUUCUAUUGCUGCAUGAACUCAAGCAAGCUUAUACUAUUAUGGAAGAAAUGACUCAAUCUUCAUAGUGCCUGACAUCAGUAUGUGUCUUGUUGAAAGUAAUUGUUAAAGUCGUUUAUUGCCUGUCUUGUGCAACAUCUGUAAUAUUCCAGUCCUUUUUUGUAAAUUUUGAUGUACAGUUAUUUAAUAAAUUUUGUUUUAAUGUGUGGUUUUUAAA